UUAUAUUCUGUAGCAAGGUUAACCGAAUAGGGGAGCCGAAGGGAAACCGAGUCUUAACUGGGCGUUAAGUUGCAGGGUAUAGACCCGAAACCCGGUGAUCUAGCCAUGGGCAGGUUGAAGGUUGGGUAACACUAACUGGAGGACCGAACCGACUAAUGUUGAAAAAUUAGCGGAUGACUUGUGGCUGGGGGUGAAAGGCCAAUCAAACCGGGAGAUAGCUGGUUCUCCCCGAAAGCUAUUUAGGUAGCGCCUCGUGAAUUCAUCUCCGGGGGUAGAGCACUGUUUCGGCAAGGGGGUCAUCCCGACUUACCAACCCGAUGCAAACUGCGAAUACCGGAGAAUGUUAUCACGGGAGACACACGGCGGGUGCUAACGUCCGUCGUGAAGAGGGAAACAACCCAGACCGCCAGCUAAGGUCCCAAAGUCAUGGUUAAGUGGGAAACGAUGUGGGAAGGCCCAGACAGCCAGGAUGUUGGCUUAGAAGCAGCCAUCAUUUAAAGAAAGCGUAAUAGCUCACUGGUCGAGUCGGCCUGCGCGGAAGAUGUAACGGGGCUAAACCAUGCACCGAAGCUGCGGCAGCGACGCUGAUGCGUUGUUGGGUAGGGGAGCGUUCUGUAAGCCUGUGAAGGUGUACUGUGAGGUAUGCUGGAGGUAUCAGAAGUGCGAAUGCUGACAUAAGUAACGAUAAAGCGGGUGAAAAGCCCGCUCGCCGGAAGACCAAGGGUUCCUGUCCAACGUUAAUCGGGGCAGGGUGAGUCGACCCCUAAGGCGAGGCCGAAAGGCGUAGUCGAUGGGAAACAGGUUAAUAUUCCUGUACUUGGUGUUACUGCGAAGGGGGGACGGAGAAGGCUAUGUUGGCCGGGCGACGGUUGUCCCGGUUUAAGCGUGUAGGCUGGUUUUCCAGGCAAAUCCGGAAAAUCAAGGCUGAGGCGUGAUGACGAGGCACUACGGUGCUGAAGCAACAAAUGCCCUGCUUCCAGGAAAAGCCUCUAAGCAUCAGGUAACAUCAAAUCGUACCCCAAACCGACACAGGUGGUCAGGUAGAGAAUACCAAGGC
rnacentral:rRNA from 1 species